rnacentral:rRNA from 1 species
AAAUUUGACCUCGGAUCAGGUAGGAAUACCCGCUGAACUUAAGCAUA